UCAUAAACUCCAUUGUAUGUAACUACCCCUUUUUAAAAUUGAGGUAAAAUUCACAUUACAUAAAAUGAAUAUAAGUUUGUUGUUUUUUAAAGAAUAGUUUAUUGAUUUUUAGAGAGAGAAACAUCAGUGUGAAAGCGUAACAUCGAUUGGCUGCCUAGGUCUGUGUCUAGCUUCAUUUUUUCCCACGUGGCUGUCCAGUUGUUCAAUACCAUUUGUUGAAAGACUUUGUUCUAUUGUGCUGCCUUUGCUCCUUUGUCACAGACCAGUUGACUGUAGUUAUGUGGGUCUAUUUCCAGGCCCCCUACCAGGGAUCGAGCCUGCAACACGGGCAUGUGACCUUGACUGGGAAUCAAACCGGCAAUCUUUGGUUCAUGGGAUGACACCCAACCAACUGAGCCACACCGGCCAGGGCAAAGUGAACAUAGCUUUUAACAGUUCUAGGUUCAUAGCAAAAAGUAGUAGAAAGUACAGAGCGAUUCCAUAUAUCUGGUCCCCACAUGCACAGCCUGCCCCACUGUUGACGUCCUGCACCAUAGCGGUACGCUCAUUACCACUAACGCCCCUACCUUACAGCGUCACCACCCAAAGUCCACAGUUUACACCAGGGCUCACUCUUAGUGUUGCACCUUCUGUGGGUUUGGACAGAUGUAUGACAUGUGUUCACCAUUGUAGUAUCACACAGAGCGGUUUCACUGCCCUAACAAUCCUGUGCUCUCUCUGGUCAUUCCUCCCUCCCUUGAGCCCCUGCAGCCACUGAUGCUUUUACUGUCUCCAUAGUGUUGUCUCGUCCAGUAUGUCACGUAGUUGGAAUCACAAGGUAGGUAGCUUCUCAGAUUGGCUUCAUUCACUUAGUCAUGUACAUUAAGUUUCCUCCAUGUCUUUUCAUGGCUCAGUAGCUCAUUUCUUUUUCGCUCUGAAUAAUAUUCCGUUGUUUGGAUGGACCACAGUGUUACCAUUCACCCACAGAAGGGCAUCUUGGUUUCUCCCAAGCUUUGGCAAGAUGAGUAAAGCUGCUAUACUCAUCCAUGCGCAGGUCUUUGUGUGGACAUUUGGGUAAGUUCCAAGGAACAUGCUUGCUGGGCAUAUGAUCAGAGUGUGUUUAUUUAUUUAUUUUUCCUUUAAUUAACCUUUAGUUUUGUAAGAAACUGCUAAACUGUCUUCUAAAGUGGCUGCACCAUUUUGCAUUUCCACCAGCAGUGACAGAGAGUCCCCAUUGCUCCACAUCCUCACCAGCAUUUGGUGUCGUCAGUGUUUUGGCUUUUGGCCAUUCUCAAUAGGGGUGACAUGGUAUUAUUAUUAUUGCUUUAAUUUGCAUUUCCCUAAUGACUUAUGCUGUUGAACAUCUUUCCAUCUGUAUAUCUUCUUUGAUGAAGUGUCCAUAUUUUUAAAAUUGUGUUGGUUUUCUUAUUGUUGAAUUCUUUGUAUAUUUUGGAUGACUGUCCUUUAUGAGAUGUGACUUUUGCAUAUAUUUUCUCCCGGUUUAUGGCUGUCUUCUCACUCUCGUGAUACUGUCUUUUAUAGAACAUAAGUUUUAAGUUUUGAUCAAAUCCAUUGAUUUCUUUCAUGGAUUGUGCCUUUGGUGUUGUAUCUAGAAAGUCAUUACCAUACCCAUGGUCAUCUAGGUUUUAUCCUAUUAGCCUUCUCGGAGUUUGAUGGUUUUGUGUUUUACACUUAGGUCUAUAUCCCCUUGGAGUUGAUUUUUGUGAAGGGUGCCAGGUCUGUGUCUAGCUUCAUUUUUUUCCACGUGGCUGUCCAGUUGCUCAGCACCAUUUGUUGAACGACUUUGUUCUAUUGUGCUGCCUUUGCUCCUUUGUCACAGACCAGUUGACUGUAUUUAUGCGGGUCUAUUUCCAGGCUCUCUGUUCUGUUCCACUGAUCUGUCUGUCAGUGCCUUCACCAAUGCCUUACUGUCUUGCUUGCUGUAGUUUUAUGUAAGUUUUGUUCUUGUCUUUCAACAUUGAGUUGGCUAUUCUGGGCCUUUGGCCUCUAAUCCCAAAGGAGGCCAGCCUGCCUGGUUUCCUUCUGUGUGGCCCCUGGUGUAGAUACCACCUUUCAGAUGGGCAGAGGGUUUGACAGGCAGGGUUCCACACACAGGAGCCGAGAUGGGGAGGCGUGGCGCUAGCACCCCUGGUCUAAGCUUCUCGGCCGCCUCAUUACACCGACGUUAUUUAACGUGAACCUCCAGGUCCUCCCGUCCCGUUGGUGGGGAGCCAGGCCUCUCACCUCCUAACUUGUUGCUUCAUUCCACAUCCAUCCAUCCAUCCAUCUAUCCAUCCAUCCAUCCAUCCAUCCAUCCAUCUAUCCAUCCAUCCAUCCGUCUCAUCCUCAGAUUCAAGGUGAAGGUUGAAGAGAGUUAUCCAAGUCUGAGCCUUCAAAAGGAGCUGAGAAGCAGCCUGGUUCAGUGCCUUGCCCCCGAGUUCAGCGCCGUCCUUGCUUCACCAGCGGUUGUCAGGUUCCCACCGAGGUGCUGGGCACCUCCUGAUCGCGGCUGACGUCCUUCCAGCUUCCCCGUGACGCUCCCUCUCAAAAGAAAAGGCUUGGAUACCUUGUUCUUGUGAAAAUGUCACCAGCUCUUUGUGAUUUCUUUUCCUUCUCUAGAGCCACCAAAAACCAGUGUAGAAUUUUGUCCAUGGUCAGUGUCAAACUCAUUGUGGGGAGUUUAAAACGUCCAUCUUCAUCCCUAGCUGGUUUGGCUCAGUGGAUAGAGCGUUGGCCUGUGGACUGAAGGGUCCCAGGUUCAAUUCUUGUUAAGGGCACAUGCCUGGGUUGCAGGCUCAAUCCCCACUGGGGGCGUGCAGGAGGCAGCCAAUCAAUGAUUCUCUCUCAUCAUUGAUGUUUCUAUCUCUCCGUCUCUCUUCCUCUCUGGAAUCACUAAAGAAAUAUUUUAAAAAAUAAAAUAAAACGCCCAUCAUCUUCCCUGUCAGACCAGGUGCCGUGUGGUGCCCAUUCCUUAGAGACCAGCAUCUGCCGGAGGGGAGUUCUGUCUAACAUUUUCCCAGGGCCUGGGGUCAGAACCCAGAGUAACUUAGGGAAGUGGGUCCUUUUCUCCUUCCUGCGUCCUUGCAGCCCUGGACGUGGGCUCCCUCGUCGUCGUCGUCACGCCGGUUCUGCUCUCUCAAACAAACCUGCUUCCCGAGAGGCUCAGCGGCAAAGCAACAGUGAGCUCUCCUCUCCGGUGUUGAUUGUAAAGACGUUACAACACUUAUUUAACCACUGACAUAGGGGCUCUGUGUGAAAGCAGUCGUCUUGCUGUCAUUGGUAUUGUAAGGACGUAGCUAGUAAAGACACAGAAACUAGCAGAGCAAGGCCAGAGUCAUUUUUCUGAUGCAUCGCGGGUUUGUUAGUCGCGUCAGCGCAUGGCGGUACCUGGUGCAGCUGUUGAGAAGUCGCCCUGACAGCGAAUGCCAGCAGGCCUGGAGUGCGCGUGGCCUUUCCUGACUGUGCACGAUAACGCUUUCCAUUGUGGGUGAAGGUCAGGAGCCCGAAAACACACAGACCUUGGAAUUACCACCGGACUAUUAUGUUCCAGUUCAGGACAGCGCCCUGUCCUACUUCGAUUCAAGACAAAUGUGACGAUGAUAAAGAAGAAAGGAAAGGGCAAACCUGGCCUGUAUUUUCUGAUAACGUUGCAGAGUGGGAAAUUUCAGGAAGCCACGGCAUGUAUUUUUUUGGCAUAACUGUAUUUCUGAUCGACUUGCAUUGUAAGAGUUAAUGGAUAAACAGGCGCGUACAAACCACA